AUACACAUUAAAGUCGUACAUUUUAAAUCAUAUUAAAUAAUUAUAACAUCAUCACGAGAGUUUCGGAGAAAACAGCUUUAUCGAUGGCAACAUCUCGAGCCCCUCUUGCUCACUGCUUCUUUGAUAGCCUCUCGUUCUAUUCGCCUCCUGACUUCGAUUCGUCAACAUCUCCCAUCACUACAUCAUCUGUUUCCUGCAACGCAUAAAAUCAAGAUCAAGCGAAAUCUCCCGCCAGUAAAUCCAAUUAUUCCGGCCAGCACAUAGGCCAGCCUCGAGUCUUCGACAUCGGCGUCAGUUGCUUGUCUUCCCGCCAACUCGGGCGCCGCCAUCUUGGAUCCUGCCGACGCGCACGCCGCCAUCUUGGAUCCUGCCGACGCUCAUCCAUGGAUAUUCAGUGAACAGUGCUAAUGUGAUACUCAGUUAACUCUGCCUAAUAUUCCGUGAAUUUGUGAACCUUCUUCCACGUGAACACCACAGUGCUAAUGUGAUAUACUCAGUUAACUCUGUCUAAUAUUCAGUGAAUUUGUGAACUUUCUUCCACGUG